UAGCAUUCCUCCGCGCCGUCCACGCCCGCACACAUCCACGAGGGGGAUCCCCCGAGGACGUGAGACGGGCUGGCCGGUCGUUUUUUCCGAGGGACUACGAGCUCAACGAGGAAACUUAAUCCCUCCGCUCGCACAGCGUUCCGCAUCCGAGAGCACGAGCGCAAUCCCGUGGGCCAACGCAGCCAAUUCGACAUGCGAGGAACACAAGACGCACCACACGGUUCAUCACGUGCCUACGAGAGGCACGAGAAGAAGGCAACGUUCGGCAACMGUAAAGAAUUCCGCUACGAGGGUAUGCAACACAUGAACCCAUCUUCUCCCGACAGCUCAAAAUGCCUACGGGCCGCGACUGAGCGGACGCCGGGCAAACAGUUCGAUGCUCGAGCAUGGAGCCUGCCAACCCUGACGACC
rnacentral:misc_RNA from 1 species